rnacentral:rRNA from 1 species
UCUCCUGACGCUGAGGCACGAAAGCUAGGGUAGCGAAACAGAUUAGAGACCUGUGUAGUCCUAGCCGUAAACUAUCCCCGCUAGAUUCUGGUCGCAAGGCCGGAGUCGCAGUUAACACAUUAAGCGGGGCGCCUGGGGAGUACGGCCGCAAGGCUAAAACUCAAAGGAAUUGACGGGGACCCGCACAACCAGUGGAGCGUGUGGUUCAAUUUGAGACGAAGCAAAAAACCUCACCAGGGAUUGACAUGUAUUCGUUCACUCCGAUGGAAACAUUGGAGGAUCCCACCUUCAAGAGCAGAAAAAACAGAAUUUCAAAUGAAAUUGGGCAUUUGGAAUUUGAAAUUAGAAAUUUGAAAUUCAAAAACAUUUAUGUUUUUGAAGGUGGGAUGAUUACACAGGUGUUGCAUGGCUGUCGUCAGCUCGUGCCGUGAGGUGUUCCCUUAAGUGGGGAAACGAGUGCAACCCCUAUUCUAUGUUAAAUAUUCAUAGAAGACUGCCCCGUUUUUUACGGGGAGGAAGGAGGGGCGGACGUCAAGUCAGCAUGACCCUUAUACCCUGGGCUACACACACCCUACAAUGGCGAAAAACAAUGGGUUGCAAACCGGUAACGGCAAGCUAAUCCCUGAAAUUUCGCCUCAGUUCAGAUUGGGGUCUGAAACCCGACCCCAUGAAGUCGGAAUUGGUAGUAAUCGCGGAUCAGCAGGCCGCGGUGAAUACGUUCUCGGGUCUUGUACACACCGCCCGUCAAGGCAGCAAAGUCGGUAGCUAUCGAACCCCGCUUAGCGGGGGAGAUAGAGAUCGGUGAUGAAGCUUAAGUCGUAACAAGGUAUCCCUAGCCGAAGCUGGGGAUG